rnacentral:rRNA from 1 species
ACGGGUGAGUAACACGUAAGGAACCUGCCUCAAGGAUUGGGAUAACUCCGAGAAAUCGGAGCUAAUACCGGAUAGUUCAACGGACCGCAUGGUCCGCUGAUGAAAGGCGCUUCGGCGUCACCUUGAGAUGGCCUUGCGGUGCAUUAGCUAGUUGGUGGGGUAACGGCCCACCAAGGCGACGAUGCAUAGCCGACCUGAGAGGGUGAUCGGCCACACUGGGACUGAGACACGGCCCAGACUCCUACGGGAGGCAGCAGUAGGGAAUCUUCCACAAUGGACGAAAGUCUGAUGGAGCAACGCCGCGUGAGUGAUGAAGGUUUUCGGAUCGUAAAACUCUGUUGUAAGGGAAGAACACGUACGAGAGGAAAUGCUCGUACCUUGACGGUACCUUACGAGAAAGCCACGGCUAACUACGUGCCAGCAGCCGCGGUAAUACGUAGGUGGCAAGCGUUGUCCGGAAUUAUUGGGCGUAAAGCGCGCGCAGGCGGCCUUUUAAGUCUGAUGUGAAAGCCCCCGGCUCAACCGGGGAGGGCCAUUGGAAACUGGAAGGCUUGAGUACAGAAGAGAAGA